CAGUAGCCGCGGUAAAACGAAGGGUGCAAGCGUUAAUCGGAAUUACUGGGCGUAAAGCGUGCGUAGGCGGUGAGUUAAGUCUGCUGUGAAAUCCCCGGGCUCAACCUGGGAAUGGCAGUGGAUACUGGCUCGCUAGAGUGUGUCAGAGGAUGGUGGAAUUCCCGGUGUAGCGGUGAAAUGCGUAGAGAUCGGGAGGAACAUCUGUGGCGAAGGCGACUAUCUGGGCCAACACUGACACUGAGGCACGAAAGCGUGGGGAGCAAACAGGAUUAGAUACCCCGGUAGUCCCUGUCUCUUAUAC
rnacentral:rRNA from 1 species